CAGUCGCCGCGGUAAUACGGAGGGGGCUAGCGUUGUUCGGAAUUACUGGGCGUAAAGCGCACGUAGGCUGCUUUGUAAGUCAGAGGUGAAAGCCCGGGGCUCAACCCCGGAUGUGCCUUUGAGACUGCAGGGCUAGAACGUCGGAGAGGUGAGUGGAAUUCCGAGUGUAGAGGUGAAAUUCGUAGAUAUUUGGAAGAACACCAGUGGCGAAGGCGGCUCACUGGACGACUGUUGACGCUGAGGUGCGAAAGCGUGGGGAGCAAACAGGAUUAGAUACCCGCGUAGUCCCUGUCUCUUAUAC
rnacentral:rRNA from 1 species